rnacentral:rRNA from 1 species
ACUCCUACGGGAGGCAGCAGUAGGGAAUCUUCCACAAUGGGCGCAAGCCUGAUGGAGCAACACCGCGUGAGUGAAGAAGGGUUUCGGCUCGUAAAGCUCUGUUGUUAAAGAAGAAUACGUAUGAGAGUAACUGUUCAUACGUUGACGGUAUUUAACCAGAAAGUCACGGCUAACUACGUGCCAGCAGCCGCGGUAAUACGUAGGUGGCAAGCGUUAUCCGGAUUUAUUGGGCGUAAAGAGAGUGCAGGCGGUUUUCUAAGUCUGAUGUGAAAGCCUUCGGCUUAACCGGAGAAGUGCAUCGGAAACUGGAUAACUUGAGUGCAGAAGAGGGUAGUGGAACUCCAUGUGUAGCGGUGGAAUGCGUAGAUAUAUGGAAGAACACCAGUGGCGAAGGCGGCUACCUGGUCUGCAACUGACGCUGAGACUCGAAAGCAUGGGGUAGCGAACAGGAUUAGAUACCCUGGUAGGAUAGCG